rnacentral:tRNA from 1 species
GCGCCCGUAGCUCAGUGGAAGAGCAGCGGACUUCUAAUCCGCGGGUCGCAGGUUCGAAUCCUGCCGGGCGCG